CGGACGGGUGAGUAACACGUGGAUAACCUACCUAUAAGACUGGGAUAACUUCGGGAAACCGGAGCUAAUACCGGAUAAUAUAUUGAACCGCAUGGUUCAAUAGUGAAAGACGGUUUUGCUGUCACUUAUAGAUGGAUCCGCGCCGCAUUAGCUAGUUGGUAAGGUAACGGCUUACCAAGGCAACGAUGCGUAGCCGACCUGAGAGGGUGAUCGGCCACACUGGAACUGAGACACGGUCCAGACUCCUACGGGAGGCAGCAGUAGGGAAUCUUCCGCAAUGGGCGAAAGCCUGACGGAGCAACGCCGCGUGAGUGAUGAAGGUCUUCGGAUCGUAAAACUCUGUUAUUAGGGAAGAACAAAUGUGUAAGUAACUAUGCACGUCUUGACGGUACCUAAUCAGAAAGCCACGGCUAACUACGUGCCAGCAGCCGCGGUAAUACGUAGGUGGCAAGCGUUAUCCGGAAUUAUUGGGCGUAAAGCGCGCGUAGGCGGUUUUUUAAGUCUGAUGUGAAAGCCCACGGCUCAACCGUGGAGGGUCAUUGGAAACUGGAAAACUUGAGUGCAGAAGAGGAAAGUGGAAUUCCAUGUGUAGCGGUGAAAUGCGCAGAGAUAUGGAGGAACACCAGUGGCGAAGGCGACUUUCUGGUCUGUAA
rnacentral:rRNA from 1 species